rnacentral:rRNA from 1 species
CAUCCAGACUCCUACGGGAGGCAGCAGUGGGGAAUAUUGGGCAAUGGGCGCAAGCCUGACCCAGCAACGCCGCGUGAAGGAAGAAGGCUUUCGGGUUGUAAACUUCUUUUCUCAGGGACGAAGAAAGUGACGGUACCUGAGGAAUAAGCCACGGCUAACUACGUGCCAGCAGCCGCGGUAAUACGUAGGUGGCAAGCGUUAUCCGGAUUUACUGGGUGUAAAGGGCGUGUAGGCGGGAAAGCAAGUCAGAUGUGAAAACCAUGGGCUCAACCUGUGGCCUGCAUUUGAAACUGUUUUUCUUGAGUGCUGGAGAGGCAAUCGGAAUUCCGUGUGUAGCGGUGAAAUGCGUAGAUAUACGGAGGAACACCAGUGGCGAAGGCGGCCUGCUGGACUGCAACUGACGUUGAGGCUCGAAGGCGUGGGGAGCAAACAGGAUUAGAUACCCCCGUAC